rnacentral:rRNA from 1 species
CGGCCACCGCUAUAGGAAUUCGAUUAAGACAUGCGAGUCGAGAGUCGUAAUGGACUCGGCGGACUGCUCAGUAACACGUGGAUAACGUGCCCUUAAGUGGAGGAUAAUCUCGGGAAACUGAGAAUAAUACUCCAUAGAUUAUGGAAUCUGGAAUGAUCCAUAGUCGAAAGUUCCGGCGCUUAAGGAUCGGUCUGCGGCCUAUCAGGUAGUAGUGGGUGUAACGUACCUACUAGCCUAUGACGGGUAUGGGCCUUGAGAGAGGGAGCCCAGAGUUGGAUUCUGAGACACGAAUCCAGGCCCUACGGGGCGCAGCAGUCGCGAAAACUUCACAAUGGGGGCAACCCCGAUGAGGGAAUUCCUAGUGCUAUCACAAUUGUGUUAGCUUUUCUCUAGCGUAGAUAACUAGAGGAAU